rnacentral:lncRNA from 1 species
AUAAAUAUUUAAUUUACCUUUACUUGCAGCCACAUUCGCUCACCUACUCUAUUUGCCACAUCUGGCCAAUUUUUUGCAGUUAAUGGAGCUUGUGUCCUGACAAUAUAACCACAAAAAUUGAUAAUAUCUCUAGCAUUUUCUCCUACUGCUCUCAGUAUAUCAUGAGGGAUGCUAACUUUCAAUGGUCCAUUCUUUGUUCUCAUAUCAACCUUAAUACAUUUGUAACGCCCACGCACAUUCUUACUUGAAACAGU